UGGGGAAUAUUGGACAAUGGGCGAAAGCCUGAUCCAGCCAUGCCGCGUGUGUGAAGAAGGUCUUCGGAUUGUAAAGCACUUUAAGCGAGGAGGAGGGUACUGGUAUUAAUACUACCAGCUACUGGACGUUACUCGCAGAAUAAGCACCGGCUAACUCUGUGCCAGCAGCCGCGGUAAUACAGAGGGUGCGAGCGUUAAUCGGAUUUACUGGGCGUAAAGCGUGCGUAGGCGGCUAAUUGAGUCGGAUGUGAAAUCCCCGAGCUUAACUUGGGAAUUGCAUUCGAUACUGGUUAGCUAGAGUGUGGGAGAGGAUGGUAGGAUUCCAGGUGUAGCGGUGAAAUGCGUAGAGAUCUGGAGGAAUACCGAUGGCGAAGGCAGCCAUCUGGCCUAACACUGACGCUGAGGUACGAAAGCAUGGGGAGCAAACAGG
rnacentral:rRNA from 1 species